UACGUAGGGUGCGAGCGUUAAUCGGAAUUACUGGGCGUAAAGCGUGCGCAGGCGGUUUUGUAAGCCAGAUGUGAAAUCCCCGGGCUUAACCUGGGAAUGGCAUUUGGGACUGCAAGGCUUGAGUGUGGCAGAGGAGACUAGAAUUCCUGGUGUAGCAGUGAAAUGCGUAGAUAUCAGGAGGAAUACCGAUGGCGAAGGCAGGUCUCUGGGCUGACACUGACGCUCAUGCACGAAAGCGUGGGGAGCAAACAGG
rnacentral:rRNA from 1 species